rnacentral:misc_RNA from 1 species
GGAUCCCGACGAUGGUUUUAAGCCUACCAGUGGUAAAGUACAGGAGCUGAGUUUUAAGAGCAAACCGAAUGUGUGGGCAUACUUCUCUGUCAAGUCUGGCGGUGGCAUUCAUGAAUUUUCAGACUCUCAGUUUGGACAUGUUUUUGCAUUUGGAGAGUCCAGACCCCUGGCCAUUGCAAACAUGGUUCUCGGACUAAAGGAAAUCCAGAUCCGAGGAGAGAUUCGUACUAAUGUUGAUUACACAAUUGAUC